rnacentral:rRNA from 1 species
UACGGGGGGAGCAAGCGUUGUUCGGAUUUACUGGGCGUAAAGGGCGCGUAGGCGGUCAGCACAAGUCAGUUGUGAAAUCUCCGAGCUUAACUCGGAAAGGUCAACUGAUACUGUGCGACUAGAGUGCGGUAGGGGAGACUGGAAUUCCUGGUGUAGCGGUGAAAUGCGCAGAUAUCAGGAGGAACACCGGUGGCGAAGGCGGGUCUCUGGGCCGUAACUGACGCUGAGGAGCGAAAGCAUGGGGAGCAAACGGG